rnacentral:rRNA from 1 species
UACGUAGGUGGCAAGCGUUGUCCGGAAUUAUUGGGCGUAAAGCGCGCGCAGGCGGUUCUUUAAGUCUGAUGUGAAAGCCCACGGCUCAACCGUGGAGGGUCAUUGGAAACUGGGGAACUUGAGUACAGAAGAGGAAAGCGGAAUUCCACGUGUAGCGGUGAAAUGCGUAGAGAUGUGGAGGAACACCAGUGGCGAAGGCGGGUCUCUGGGCCGAUACUGACGCUGAGGAGCGAAAGCGUGGGGAGCGAACAGG